GACGAACGCUGGCGGCGUGCUUAACACAUGCAAGUCGAACGGUGAUCUUGAGAGCUUGCUCUUGGGUGAUCAGUGGCGAACGGGUGAGUAACACGUGAGUAACCUGCCCCUGACUCUGGAAUAACUUCGGGAAACCGAAGCUAAUACCGGAUAUGACACAGAGCCGCAUGGUUUCUGUGUGGAAAGUUUUUCGGUUGGGGAUGGACUCGCGGCCUAUCAGCUUGUUGGGGAGGUAAUGGCUCACCAAGGCGACGACGGGUAGCCGGCCUGAGAGGGCGACCGGCCACACUGGGACUGAGACACGGCCCAGACUCCUACGGGAGGCAGCAGUGGGGAAUAUUGCACAAUGGGCGAAAGCCUGAUGCAGCGACGCCGCGUGAGGGAUGAAGGCCUUCGGGUUGUAAACCUCUUUCAGUAGGGAAGAAGCGCAAGUGACGGUACCUACAGGAGAAGCACCGGCUAACUACGUGCCAGCCGCCGCCGUAAAAC
rnacentral:rRNA from 1 species